rnacentral:lncRNA from 1 species
CUACUCUACAGGGCCGGUUGUUGCUGGAGUGGUGGGCCUCACCAUGCCCAGAUACUGCUUGUUUGGAGACACUGUGAACACAGCUUCUCGGAUGGAAUCAACAGGCUUACCUUAUCGCAUUCAUGUCAGUCUCAGCACUGUUACAAUUCUUCAAAAUCUGAGUGAGGGCUAUGAAAUGGAGCUUCGAGGAAGAACAGAGCUCAAGGGCAAAGGCACAGAGGAGACCUUCUGGCUGAUUGGGAAAAAAGGCUUCACGAAGCCCCUUCCUGUGCCCCCACCAGUGGACAAAGAUGGGCAAGUGGGCCAUGGCCUACAACCAGUGGAAAUUGCAGCCUUCCAAAGAAGAAAAGCAGAAAGGCAGUUGGUGAGAAACAAGCCAUAAGGUAAUGGCCAGGAGGAAAACAGAACACAGCAG